AAGUCGUAACAAGGUUUCCGUAGGUGAACCUGCGGAAGGAUCAUUCAUAAUCAAAGUGUUUUUAUGGCACUUUUAAAAAAAUCCAUAUCCACCUUGUGUGCAAUGUCAUCUCACUGGAGGCCAGCUGGCUGUCAAAAGCCCGUUUGGUCACCUUUGGGAUUUAUAUCUACUCAGAACUUUAGUGAUUUUGUCUGAAAAAUAUUAUGAAUAACUUAAUUCAAAAUACAACUUUCAACAACGGAUCUCUUGGCUCUCGCAUCGAUGAAGAACGCAGCGAAAUGCGAUACGUAAUGUGAAUUGCAGAAUUCAGUGAAUCAUCGAAUCUUUGAACGCAUAUUGCGCUCUUUGGUAUUCCGAAGAGCAUGCUUGUUUGAGUAUCAGUAAACACCUCAAAGCUUUUGGAUUUUUUAAUCGAAAAGCUUUGGACUUGAGCAAUCCCAACACCAAUCUUUUUGAGAUCGGUGGCGGGUUGCUUGAAAUGCAGGUGCAGCUGGACAUUCUCCUGAGCUAAAAGCAUAUUCAUUUAGUCCCGUCAAACGGAUUAUUACUUUUGCUGCAGCUAACAUAAAGGGAGUUUGACCGUAUUGGCUGACUGAUGCAGGAUUUCACAAGGGUCGGCAACGAUUCUUGUUAAACUCGAUCUCAAAUCAAGUAAGACUACCCGCUGAACUUAA
rnacentral:rRNA from 1 species